UACGGAGGGUGCAAGCGUUGCUCGGAAUUACUGGGCGUAAAGCGUGCGUAGGUGGUUGUUUAAGUCUGCUGUGAAAGCCCUGGGCUCAACCUGGGAAUUGCAGUGGAUACUGGGCGACUAGAGUGUGGUAGAGGAUAGUGGAAUUUCCGGUGUAGCAGUGAAAUGCGUAGAGAUCGGAAGGAACAUCUGUGGCGAAGGCGACUAUCUGGGCCAACACUGACACUGAGGCACGAAAGCGUGGGGAGCAAACAGG
rnacentral:rRNA from 1 species